CCUACGGGUGGCAGCAGUGAGGAAUAUUGGUCAAUGGACGAGAGUCUGAACCAGCCAAGUAGCGUGAAGGAUGACUGCCCUAUGGGUUGUAAACUUCUUUUAUAUGGGAAUAAAAUGUUCCACGUGUGGGCUUUUGUAUGUACCAUAUGAAUAAGGAUCGGCUAACUCCGUGCCAGCAGCCGCGGUAAUACGGAGGAUCCGAGCGUUAUCCGGAUUUAUUGGGUUUAAAGGGAGCGUAGGUGGAUUGUUAAGUCAGUUGUGAAAGUUUGCGGCUCAACCGUAAAAUUGCAGUUGAAACUGGCAGGCUAGAGUACAGUAGAGGUGGGCGGAAUUCGUGGUGUAGCGGUGAAAUGCUGAGAGAUCACGAAGAACUCCGAUUGCGAAGGCAGUUCACUGGACUGCAACUGACACUGAGGCGCGAAAGUGUGGGGAGCAAACAGGAUUAGAUACCCCAGUAGUC
rnacentral:rRNA from 1 species